rnacentral:lncRNA from 1 species
GCACUGGACUACCUGAAUUUUUAAUUCAGUGACGGAAGGCUGCUGGGUGUAGUCAAGUACUUGACUUGUCGGUGCGUGUGUCAAGAUGGGAUUGACCACUCCAGUUUAGGAGCUGUGUACAGUCAUAUUUCAAUUUAGCAAAACCUUGGUCAGGGUAGUCCUUAUGAGGAGUCAUAGGACUGUUUGAGUUGAGCACGAUUCGGAUGAUCUGAUCAGGGUUGACAGUUUAACCCUGAGUCAUCCUAAACACAGGGGUCAAAAGGAUGAAUUAUACAGUAACCAUAUUCAUGUAGGUUCUAAGUAUUGCGAUUGUGACUCUUCGACCUAUUCGGAUAUCGGGUACCAUUGCUAGAUGGUCACUUUGAUUAGUACAGAAAUUGGUUCCUGUGCUACCGGCUUAGGUUCGAACCUGCGGGGUCACACACAUUAGAGGUUCCUAUCUGAUCUGAUGGCUGAUGUAGAAUCCUAUAUGUUUGGGACUCAGUGAUCGAG